rnacentral:rRNA from 1 species
AUGGAGAAUCUGAACAAGACUGGCAAGGCUUAUCUUGCGCACACGGUGGUUGGAGACAAGUUCGUGCUCCGGUUCGCCGUUGGGUCGUCACUUCAGGAGGAGAGGCAUGUGACGAGUGCAUGGGACCUUAUCAAGAAGACUACGAGCGGUAUCAUGGAUUAA